CCCGCGCCCCUGCGUCCGAGCGAGCGGAACCGGCGCUUCGCCCGCGGACGGUCCGAAGUCCGCGCUAUGGAAGAAGAGAAAUAUUUGCCUGAGCUGAUGGCAGAGAAAGAUAGCCUGGAUCCAUCUUUUGUGCACGCGUCGCGCCUCCUGGCCGAAGAAAUUGAAAAAUUUCAAGGUUCUGAUGGAAAAAAGGAAGAUGAAGAAAAGAAAUACCUUGAUGUCAUCAGCAACAAAAACAUAAAGCUCUCAGAAAGGGUAUUGAUUCCUGUGAAACAGUAUCCAAAGUUCAAUUUUGUGGGGAAAUUGCUUGGACCAAGAGGAAACUCCUUGAAGAGGCUACAGGAAGAAACGGGUGCUAAAAUGUCUAUCCUGGGCAAAGGAUCAAUGAGAGACAAAGCAAAGGAAGAAGAGCUAAGGAAGAGUGGGGAAGCCAAAUAUGCCCACUUGAGUGAUGAGCUUCACGUAUUAAUUGAAGUGUUUGCGCCACCUGGGGAAGCUUAUUCACGUAUGAGUCAUGCACUGGAAGAGAUUAAAAAAUUCCUGGUUCCCGACUAUAAUGAUGAAAUUCGUCAGGAACAACUGCGUGAAUUAUCUUACUUAAAUGGCUCAGAAGACUCUGGUCGUGGCAGAGGUAUUAGAGGCAGAGGGAUCAGAAUAGCCCCCACAACGCCUUCGAGGGGUCGUGGGGGUGCCAUUCCUCCUCCCCCACCACCUGGAAGAGGUGUCCUCACUCCUCGAGGGACCAGUGUGACCCGUGGAGCUCUUCCAGUGCCCCCUGUAGCAAGAGGUGUCCCUACUCCACGAGCCCGGGGGGCACCAACAGUGCCAGGAUACAGGGCACCCCCUCCCCCAGCCCACGAGGCUUAUGAAGAAUAUGGGUAUGAUGAUGGCUAUGGGGGUGAAUAUGAUGACCAGACCUAUGAGACAUACGAUAGCAGCUAUGCCACCCAAACGCAAAGUGUGCCUGAAUACUAUGACUACGGUCAUGGAGUAAGUGAGGAUGCCUAUGACAGCUACGCGCCAGAAGAAUGGACCACAGCCCGCUCCAGCCUGAAGGCCCCACCGCCAAGGUCAGCCAGAGGGGGAUACAGGGAGCACCCCUAUGGUAGAUAUUGAAGGUCCUCCUCACCUGUGACCUCACCUCAAAGACAAUUCAUAGCCUCUGGUCUCCACAUAACAGCAACAAGACAAUGCUAAAUAUCACCGCCCUUGAAGGCAGUUUAGAGGGCUGAUAUUUCUUUUGAGACUAUCAGACUUGAUGGCUGAUGAUUAUUAAGGAAAUAUGUCGCAGGACUCAAAGGAUGACUAAACGUUAAACAGGUCCCCACAAGCAAAGAGCACAUAAUUGAAUAACAGAAGUGAUGGGCUAAGGAAGGUAGAGGUGAAGAUGUGUGCUAGAAAAAUCGAAAGCUGGAAUGAACUGGACACUGACUGCUUGGAGGGUCAAUGUUUUUAACAAUGGAGGUAAGUCCCCUCGUAGAAUAGAAACCUUUUGUGAUUUCAUUUAUCCGCUUUGCUUACUAGACAGGUACAGAACACUUCCUUAGAGGACGGAAAAGAAAUGCUUCAAUGGAUGAAGCAGCUCUUUGCAUCUGAUGGAAACUAAGUAGGACAUGAAAUUAACAUCAAACAAGACAAAUAAGAGAAUUUGGAUUUGAACCAAGGUGAUUCUGAAGUGCACUAUGAGUAGCAACCAUCGGAUUAAAAUAUAGGUGGAACAUAUUCAUAUGUUAAUUAUGCAGAUCAAAAAAGAAGAGGUUAAUUUAGGCUGAGACUUCAAAAGAUGGCUUCAAAGAAGAGAUGGGAUUUGAGUGAGAGGUCAGAUACCGACAGAAGGGUGCAUCAUCACCCCCAUGGCAUACAUGUCACCUUGAGCACAACAGUAAUUUAAUCAGCCAGUGGUGUGCUGGAGCCACAAGCUCACGAGGUCCAUAUAUGUGCAUUUCCUCUCAACCAGGCAUUUAGUGACUUCACUCUGGUAGCUUGAAGUGGACACUGCUAUUUUCUUCCUGAUUUGCUUCACCACUUAGCACCCAGAGUCUGGCACAUCGUAGCAUAAUGCUAAUUGAUUUUCAUCAUUAAAAGAUCCUCAAAUGACAGCUGAAUUGUCAAAGCCUUCAAAGAAAGUAUACAUUGAUCUUAAUGUAGCUUGAUUGUGGCACGUCGGCUUUCGAAGCACUCCGUUGAGGAACAUUUUGGUUUAUGAACACCGUAGAUCCGGCAGUAAGUGCUUCGGUUUUCGAACAUACCUCGGAAGUCGAACAUACCACACGGCUUCUGCUGAGGGCAAGAUCCUGAGG